GCCCGGUUAGCUCAAUCGGUAGAGCGUGAGACUCUUAAUCUCAAGGUUGCGGGUGAGUACAUAUACCCAGACAUGGAUGAGUCUGAUAAAAAUACUGACAACCUUGACUAGGUUCGACCCCCGCAUCGGGCU